UCCGGCUUAUCACCGGCGGUUUCUUUAGAGUGCCCAACUAAAUGGUAGCAACUAAAGACGAGGGUUGCGCUCGUUGCGGGACUUAACCCAACAUCUCACGACACGAGCUGACGACAGCCAUGCACCACCUGUGCACGAGCCCCGAAGGGCUGCCGUAUUUCUACGACAUUCCCGUGCAUGUCAAGCCCUGGUAAGGUUCUUCGCGUUGCGUCGAAUUAAACCACAUGCUCCGCUGCUUGUGCGGGCCCCCGUCAAUUCAUUUGAGUUUUAACCUUGCGGCCGUACUCCCCAGGCGGAGAACUUAUCGCGUUAGCUUCGCCACUGAACCCUCAAGGGGUCCAACGGCUAGUUCUCAUCGUUUACUGCGUGGACUAC
rnacentral:misc_RNA from 1 species